CAGCAGCCGCGGGAAAACGGAGGGUGCAAGCGUUAAUCGGAAUUACUGGGCGUAAAGCGCACGCAGGCGGUUUGUUAAGUCAGAUGUGAAAUCCCCGAGCUUAACUUGGGAACUGCAUUUGAAACUGGCAAGCUAGAGUCUUGUAGAGGGGGGUAGAAUUCCAGGUGUAGCGGUGAAAUGCGUAGAGAUCUGGAGGAAUACCGGUGGCGAAGGCGGCCCCCUGGACAAAGACUGACGCUCAGGUGCGAAAGCGUGGGGAGCAAACAGGAUUAGAUACCCGUGUAGUCCCUGUCUCUUAUAC
rnacentral:rRNA from 1 species